CGGCGUCACGAGUGGCAAUCACGUUUAUUGGGUCUAAAGCGUUCGUAGCCGGUUUAGUAAAUCUUUUGUGAAAUUGUCGGGCUUAACCUGACACCGUGCAGAAGACACUGCUAAACUAGAGACCGGGAGGGGUUAGAAGUAUUUCAGGGGGAGCGGUAAAAUGUUGUAAUCCCUGAAAGACUACCAAUGGCGAAGGCAUCUAACCAGAACGGAUCUGACGGUGAGGAACGAAGGCUAGGGGAGCGAACCGGAUUAGAUACCCGAGUAGUCC
rnacentral:rRNA from 1 species